UAAGGAAUAUUGGUCAAUGGACGCAAGUCUGAACCAGCCAUGCCGCGUGAAGGAUGAAGGUCCUCUGGAUUGUAAACUUCUUUUAUAUGGGAAGAAAUCCAUCUUUUCUUGGGUGGUUGACGGUACCAUAGGAAUAAGCACCGGCUAACUCCGUG
rnacentral:rRNA from 1 species